CGGCCCCUGCCGUGUUCGUGAUUGGCGGAAGAGUUAGAGCCAACACAACGAGAACGGGAUCCCUUCCUGGCGUCGGUGAGCAUGCCCCUGCACGGGGAAGCCUGAAGGCGCCAACCCAGGGAACCCACCUGGUGAAAACCAGGUUCGACUCGACUGCUGACACGGCAAAGCGCAGGGGCUUU
rnacentral:other from 1 species